UACGGGGGGAGCAAGCGUUGUUCGGAUUUACUGGGCGUAAAGGGCGCGUAGGCGGCCACCGCAAGUCAAUUGUGAAAUCUCCGGGCUUAACUCGGAAAGGUCAACUGAUACUGCGGGGCUAGAGUGCGGAAGGGGCAACUGGAAUUCUCGGGUGUAGCGGUGAAAUGCGUAGAGAUCAUGAGGAAGACCAGUGGCGAAGGCGGGUCUCUGGACAGUUCCUGACACUGAGGCACGAAGACCAGGGGAGCAAACGGG
rnacentral:rRNA from 1 species